GAGGGUAUAGCUCAGUGGUAGAGUGCCUGCUUAGCACACAUGACGUCCUGGGUUCAAUUCCUAGGACCUCCA
rnacentral:tRNA from 1 species